UGGUGGAGCCGCCGGCCCAAGCGGUUAGUAGGUGAGUGAUGGGGUGACGCAGGAAGGUAGUCCAUCCCGGGCGGUGGUUGUCCCGGGGUAAGGGUGUAGCCCGUCAUCUAGGUAAAUCCGGGUGGCUUGUGGGUGAGACCUGAUGCCGAGCCGAUUGUGGUGAAGUGGAUGAUCCUAUGCUGUCGAGAAAAGCCUCUAGCGAGUUUUAUGGCGGCCCGUACCCUAAACCGACUCAGGUGGUCUGGUAGAGAAUACCGAGGCGUUCGGGUGAACUAUGGUUAAGGAACUCGGCAAAAUGCCCCCGUAACUUCGGGAGAAGGGGGGCCACGCCUGGUGAGAGGACUUGCUCCUUGAGCUGGGGGUGGCCGCAGAGACCAGCGAGAAGCGACUGUUUACUAAAAACACAGGUCCGUGCGAAGCCGUAAGGCGAUGUAUACGGACUGACGCCUGCCCGGUGCUGGAACGUUAAGGGGACCGGUUAGCUCACUUUCGGGUGGGCGAAGCUGAGAACUUAAGCGCCAGUAAACGGCGGUGGUAACUAUAACCAUCCUAAGGUAGCGAAAUUCCUUGUCGGGUAAGUUCCGACCUGCACGAAUGGCGUAACGACUUCUCGACUGUCUCAACCAUAGGCCCGGUGAAAUUGCACUACGAGUAAAGAUGCUCGUUUCGCGCAGCAGGACGGAAAGACCCCGGGACCUUUACUACAGUUUGAUAUUGGUGUUCGGUUCGGCUUGUGUAGGAUAGCUGGGAGACUGUGAGCAUCGGACGCCAGUUCGGUGGGAGUCGUCGUUGAAAUACCAGUCUGGUCGUGCUGGAUGUCUAACCUGGGUCCGUGAUCCGGAUCAGGGACAGUGUCUGAUGGGUAGUUUAACUGGGGCGGUUGCCUCCUAAAGGGUAACGGAGGCGCCCAAAGGUUCCCUCAGCCUGGUUGGUAAUCAGGUGGUGAGUGUAAGUGCACAAGGGAGCUUGACUGUGAGACCGACGGGUCGAGCAGGGACGAAAGUCGGGACUAGUGAUCCGGCGGUGGCUUGUGGAAGCGCCGUCGCUCAACGGAUAAAAGGUACCCCGGGGAUAACAGGCUGAUCUUCCCCAAGAGUCCAUAUCGACGGGAUGGUUUGGCACCUCGAUGUCGGCUCGUCGCAUCCUGGGGCUGGAGUCGGUCCCAAGGGUUGGGCUGUUCGCCCAUUAAAGCGGUACGCGAGCUGGGUUUAGAACGUCGUGAGACAGUUCGGUCCCUAUCCGCUGCGCGCGUAGGAGUCUUGAGAAGGGCUGUCCCUAGUACGAGAGGACCGGGACGGACGAACCUCUGGUGUGCCAGUUGUUCUGCCAAGGGCAUGGCUGGUUGGCUACGUUCGGGAGGGAUAACCGCUGAAAGCAUCUAAGCGGGAAGCCUGCUUCGAGAUGAGGGCUCCCACCCACUUGAUGGGGUAAGGCUCCCAGUAGACGACUGGGUUGAUAGGCCAGAUAUGGAAGCCGGGUGACCGGUGGAGUUGACUGGUACUAAUAGGCCGAGGGCUUGUCCU
rnacentral:rRNA from 1 species